CGGGAGGGAUUGUGCCUGAUAUUCAUAUGAUGAAGACAUAAUCUUGCAAUCAGUUUAAUUGAGGUCUGGAGCUGGCAUGUCAGUUAACAGCUAGUAGUCUAUUAUUUAUGUGUUAUUGUCAUUUUAUUUAUUUUCUUUUGAUACAUCUUUUGACAUCGGACUCGGACUUCUCUUGAACUGAAUUUUAAUGUGCGUAUUGUUUUGAUUUGCUUUUCUACAUUGGCUAGAGUUAUAGGGGACGGAUUGAGAUCUUAUAAACAUGUUU
rnacentral:lncRNA from 1 species